CCUACGUGAGGCUGCAGUGAGGAAUAUUGGUCAAUGGACGGAAGUCUGAACCAGCCAUGCCGCGUGCAGGAAGACGGCGCUAUGAGUUGUAAACUGCUUUUGUACAAGGGUAAACCUGAAUACGUGUAUUCAGCUGAGAGUACUGUACGAAUAAGGAUCGGCUAACUCCGUGCCAGCAGCCGCGGUAAUACGGAGGAUCCAAGCGUUAUCCGGAUUUAUUGGGUUUAAAGGGUGCGUAGGCGGAUCGAUAAGUUAGAGGUGAAAUGUCCGAGCUUAACUCGGGAACUGCCUCUAAUACUGUUGGACUAGAGAGUAGAUGAGGUAGGCGGAAUGUAUGGUGUAGCGGUGAAAUGCUUAGAGAUCAUACAGAACACCGAUUGCGAAGGCAGCUUACCAAUCUAUAUCUGACGUUGAGGCACGAAAGCGUGGGGAGCAAACAGGAUUAGAUACCCCUGUAGUC
rnacentral:rRNA from 1 species